rnacentral:rRNA from 1 species
UACAUGGGGUGCAAACGUUGUUCGGAAUUAUUGGGCGUAAAGCGCGCGUAGGCGGUUUUCUAGGUCGGAUGUGAAAGCCCUCGGCUUAACUGAGGAAGUGCACCCGAAACUGGGUAGCUAGAGUACUAAAGAGGGUCGCGGAAUUCCCGGUGUAGAGGUGAAAUUCGUAGAUAUGUGGAGGAAUACCGAUGGCGAAGGCAGCCCCCUGGGCUAAGAUUGACGCUCAUGCACGAAAGCGUGGGGAGCAAACAGG